AACUUGUAAAAUUUCUAAUAAAAAAAAAUAAACUCUCAGUCUAAUAAAAUGACUGAUCACACUGGACUUGCAAAAGAAAUAAUGGAACAAGAAUCUCAGCAGGAAUAAAGACUUCAGUCUAUACAUAGUCCAAAGACUUCAAUGGGAGAACAAAAUCGUGACUCAGUUCAGGAACGAAAAGGAUGGAGGUGAAGUCUAAUGAGGCUAUUCGCAUUAAGUCAAAGAAAUAAAAGAUAACACCAGUUGCUAUAUACACCCCACC